AUGAACGCUGGCGGCGUGCCUAAUACAUGCCAGUCGAGCGAACAGACGAGGAGCUUGCUCCUCUGACGUUAGCGGCGGACGGGUGAGUAACACGUGGAUAACCUACCUAUAAGACUGGGAUAACUUCGGGAAACCGGAGCUAAUACCGGAUAACAUAUUGAACCGCAUGGUUCAAUAGUGAAAGACGGUUUUGCUGUCACUUAUAGAUGGAUCCGCGCCGCAUUAGCUAGUUGGUAAGGUAACGGCUUACCAAGGCAACGAUGCGUAGCCGACCUGAGAGGGUGAUCGGCCACACUGGAACUGAGACACGGUCCAGACUCCUACGGGAGGCAGCAGUAGGGAAUCUUCCGCAAUGGGCGAAAGCCUGACGGAGCAACGCCGCGUGAGUGAUGAAGGUCUUCGGAUCGUAAAACUCUGUUAUUAGGGAAGAACAAAUGUGUAAGUAACUAUGCACGUCUUGACGGUACCUAAUCAGAAAGCCACGGCUAACUACGU
rnacentral:rRNA from 1 species